rnacentral:lncRNA from 1 species
CAGAAAUACCCUAACGGUUUUCUAUCCCUAUACCAAAAUAUCCAAAAAUCCGAGAUAUCCGAUCCGAAUCCGAACGAAUAUCCGAAUGUCCACCCCUAGCAAUACCAUUAUUCCACUAGUUUCCCUCUUUUAUACUCAUUCUUUUAAUAAUAUAUUUUGGUAGAACAUUGAUUGGAUUCCUAUUUGAUAUGGGUUUCUUUCUCUUACGGGUCAAUAAUGAAUUUAGUGCUUAAAAUAAAUAUAAAAUAAAUAUAUGUUCACACACAGUAGAAUAAUAUAAAUCUUAAAGUUCAAAAAGAAUAAGAUAUUUUUUAUAUAUUUUGGUCCCCUCCUAAGAUUUUUUUUUCUUUUCAAAAUUCAGACUGAUUUGAUGAUAUUUUUUUUGGUAUUUUUUUUUUGCUAAAAUAUAUUUUUUGGUGUUUGUUAGUUGUUACAUGUUUUUGCUUCCGAUGAUAUAUAUUAUAUGAAUUUGAAUCUAGCAAUUGAACGACGAAUUAAUGCAAAACACUAUGCUAUAUGAUUUUUUUUGUAACGGUAUGCUAUAUGAUUUCAUAUAGCUGUUAUUCUUUGAUUUUAUUAUAUUAAAAAUGAUCAUAUUAUUAUUCAGAAUAAUCGAAGUUAAUCUAUUUUACGUUGACGUCAAAUUUAAUUUGACUUUUUUUUAUAUGUCCUAUCUAAUGGAAGUAUGUGCUCCGAAUGUACCGAAUCACAAGAUGAAUCUACGUCAAUCAAAGAAAAGCUGAACCCAUUUACCCAGUCUCAGUAACGGUUAAGUGUGGAGCUGGACAUACGACAGGCAUAGAAAUAAGGGAUGUUCAGUGUACGGAUCACACAGCUCACAUGCUAGAGACGGCCAACAGAUUUAGCUGUCUCAGG